AUUGAACGCUGGCGGCAGGCUUAACACAUGCAAGUCGAGCGGGGUGAUGGUGCUUGCACUAUCACUUAGCGGCGGACGGGUGAGUAAUGCUUAGGAAUCUGCCUAUUAGUGGGGGACAACAUCUCGAAAGGGAUUCUAAUACCGCAUACGUCCUACGGGAGAAAGCAGGGGAUCACUUGUGACCUUGCGCUAAUAGAUGAGCCUAAGUCGGAUUAGCUAGUUGGUGGGGUAAAGGCCUACCAAGGCGACGAUCUGUAGCGGGUCUGAGAGGAUGAUCCGCCACACUGGGAAGGGGACACGGCCCAGACUCCUACGGGAGGCAGCAGUGGGGAAUAUUGGACAAUGGGGGGAACCCUGAUCCAGCCAUGCCGCGUGUGUGAAGAAGGCCUUAUGGUUGUAAAGCACUUUAAGCGAGGAGGAGGCUCUUUUGGUUAAUACCCAGAAUGAGUGGACGUUACUCGCAGAAUAAGCACCGGCUAACUCUGUGCCAGCAGCCGCCGUAA
rnacentral:rRNA from 1 species